UUGCCCCACAUCCCUUCCCCAAAUUGGGGGCUGGAUUAGGGGGGGGGGGGGGGUUGCUUUGCAGGAGGCGGCGCUCGCUCGCUCUCGCUCCCCUCGGGUUUUUUUUCCCUGCGGUUGCUCGGGGAGGUGGAGCCUGGGGCCACCCCCGCGGGCAGGUGCCGGAUGGCGGCGGGGACCCUCGCCCCCCGCCCUCCCGAUUCCCUGCAGGAAUUCCAGUAUCCCCCCCAAAACAGCCCCCCCUCCACCGGGGGGGUGCCCCCGGCCACCGACCUGGUGCUGGGGGCCACGGCCGGCUGCCUGGCCUGCUUCCUCACCAACCCGCUGGAGGUGGUGAAGACGCGGCUGCAGCUGCAGGGCGAGCUGCAGCCCCCGGGCACGUACCCGCGGCCGUACCGCGGCGUGCUGCGGGCGGCCGUGGCCGUGUGCCGGGCGGACGGGCUGCGGGGGCUGCAGAAGGGGCUGGCGGCCGGGCUGCUCUACCAGGGGCUCAUGAACGGCGUCCGCUUCUACUGCUACUCGCACGCCGAGGACGCCGGCUGGACCGGGUAUCCCGGCGGGACCGUGGCCGCCGGGGCCGUGGCCGGGGCGGUGGGAGCCAUCGUGGGCAGCCCCGCGUACCUGGUCAAGACCCACCUCCAAGCCCAGACACUGUCGGCCAUGGCCGUGGGCCACCAGCACAACCAUGAGAGCAUCUCCGGCGCUUUCAAGAGCAUCUACCAGCAGCACGGGGUGGUGGGGCUGUGGCGGGGGGUGACGGGCGCCGUGCCGCGCGUGGCCGUGGGCUCGGCCGUGCAGCUCGCCACCUUCGCCUCGGCCAAGGACUGGGUCUGCGAGCGCCAGUGGUUCAGGAAGGGCAGCUGGGCGGCGGUGCUGGCGGGGGGCAUGGUGAGUGGUGUGGCUGUGGCUGUGACAAUGACACCUUUUGACACGAUCAGCACGCGUCUCUACAACCAGCCCGUGGACGCCGACGGCACGGGCAAGCUCUACCGAGGGUUUUUGGAUUGUAUCCUGCAAAUCUCCAGCAAAGAGGGGCUGCUAGGCUUGUACAAGGGCCUCGGCGCCGUCUACCUCCGCCUCGGCCCCCACACCGUGCUCAGCCUCUUCUUUUGGGACAAGCUCAGGAACAUGGUUCAGCACUAGCAGCCCCCAGGGCUGUAGGACAGACUCCUGCCACCACCACCGAUGUUAAUAAAGAGCUGGAGCUCCGGCCGGACGAGAUGAGCUCCAGCUGCCCUGGCUUGCCCCAGUAAUGAUUUACCAGCCGGGGGGAGCCACUC